rnacentral:rRNA from 1 species
UACAGAGGUCUCAAGCGUUGUUCGGAUUCAUUGGGCGUAAAGGGCGCGUAGGCGGUGCGGUACGGUUUCGGUGAAAUCCCUCGGCCCAACCGAGGAACAGCCGGGACAACGGCCGUGCUAGACGGCAUCAGGGGACAGUGGAACUCCCGGUGGAGCGGUGAAAUGCGUAGAUAUCGGGAGGAACGCCGGUGGCGAAAGCGGCGCGCUGGACCCUUUCUGACGCUGAUGCGCGAAAGCCAGGGGAGCAAACGGG